AAUAAUAUCAGCUACGAAAAAUAAUGUCAGGUUUGAACGUUUCAAAAAGAAGAAACGAUAAUAACGCGUUUGUACGUUUUCUUCAGUUUCUGCUUCGAAUACCUGGACGUUUCGCGCGAUAGAGAUCGGUGAAUAAUUCAACGCGGAAUUAGCGGUGGGUGUUUAGCUUUCGAUUCUACGUUCUUCUUCAACGAGUCUUCGUGCACUCGCAGACACGCGAGCGUAAUUGCACUACGUUUUCUCGGUUAUGCGUAGCCGAUGCAAAGUAACGCUCGUUACUUGCUAACCACCGAGUCGGAAGAGCGACGAUGACGAAGAUAAUUGUGGGGAAUUUAACGUUUAGAGAGAGAUUAGUGGCAUUUUACGAGAAGAAGGUGUAUCGACGAAUAUUCGAGUACGAAAUGAAUCGUACGAGUUUAAUUGUAAAUGGUUGUGUAUGGUGUACCGGUAGUCGAAGCUCUUGGGAUACCACUAGUCGCGUUAAAAGCUUCUGAAAGGAUAAAGGAAUUUUCAUUAGGUCGCUGGUUGUUUAGGAAAUACAAGAAAAUUGGUGUUAAAGGAUAAACGAUUCCAAGAAGAUGAGAGAAAUACUUGUUGUUCGGUGUUGAGGUAUUUUGAAGAAAUAACAGAAUUUUCAAUAGGUUGCUUGGAGUUUGAACAUUUUGGAGAAAUAGUAGAGUUUUCAUCGGAUCACUUGGAAGAUUCUGGAAAAAUAAAGGAAUUUUCAUUAGGUUUCUGGUUGUUUAGUAUUGAGAUAUUAUGAAAAAGUAAAAGAAUUUUUAUGUUACGUCACUUGGGGUUAGAAACUUAUGGAAAAAUAGUGUUUUUAUUAGGUCACUGGUUGACUUGAUGUUAGAAAAUCCUGAAAAAUUAAGAGAAUUUUCAUUAGAUCAUUUAGCGGAGGUUCUGGAAAAAUACAGGAAUUUCCAUUAUAUAAAUCGGUGUUAGAAGAUUCUGGGAAAAUAAUAGAAUUUUCUUUAGGUCACUGGUCGCCUUGGUAAUGAAAGAUUUUGAAAAAUUAAAAGAGUUUUCAUCAGAUCGCUUGCAAGGUUCUGGAAAAAUAAAGGAAUUUUCAUUAGCUCACACUGGUUGUUUAAUGUUGUUAAUAUUCUGAAAAAAUAAAAGAAUUUUUAUGUUAGGUCACUUAGGGUUAGAAGCUUCUGGAAAAAUAAUAGUAUUUUCAUUACAUCGCCGAUUGACUUGGUAUUAAAAGAUUCUGAAAGAUUAAAAGAAUUUUCAUUAGAUCACUUAGAAGGCUCCAAAAAAAAAAAAAAAAAAAAAAAAAACGAGAAUUCUCAUUAUGUCACUGGUUGUUUAACACCAAGAGGUUCUUCAAAAAUAAAAGAAUUUUCAUUAAGUCGCUUGGUAUUGAAAGUUUCUUCGAAACUAAUAGAAUUUUUACCAGAACAAUCCUCGUAUUAAAUAAAUAAUCCUCGAUAUUCUUCAAUAAGAAUCACUUUCAUCUGAAAUCGUUCGACUGAUUGUAGGUUAAGGAUACGUAUAAUUUCACAUAUUAAUGCCUUGAAUAAUUGAAACGUUGGCCGAGGAAUUUCGGUGGGUGUGCGAAAAGUAUCGGCCGCGGGAAACGCGUGGUAUUCCGCAUGAAUAAUUUAGCGUUAUGUAACGAUGUAAAGGCAGCAAUCGACGAUCGUUGUUUAAGAGUACCGUGUACCAGCCACGGGCUGUCCACGUUCCAACAGGAAAUUACGAGACCUGGGCACAAUGGUUAUCGAACAGAGAGCCGCUUCCAUAGCUUCUAUACUCGUCGAAUUUCCUAUUUCGUGUCAUCGGUUCGUUCCUCCUCUCUUCCUACCCAUAACCUUGCGCCAUUGUGUUUGGCUAACAGUUUUCCGAUUGUUCGCGUUAAUCGGCGAUAGAACCCAGCUAAAAAAAACCAAAAAAAGAAGAACGUGGGAAAAAUCGAAGGAAAUGAAUGCUUGUAAUUAUUCUUCGUAAAUAUGAACUAUAUUCGUGGAAAAAUUCGCGGGAGAAUAUUUGAACGUAAACGCUAUUUACGUUACAAUUAAGAUAUACUGGGUUGGCAACUAAGUGAUUGCCGGUUUUCUCAUUACCACCUAGUGACAAAAUCCGCAAUCACUUAGUUGCCAACCUAAUAGCAAGUAACAAAGUAAUUAAUUACCUUUCGAUGGCGAUGACCCAAGCUUCUUGCACCAGACCAGAGCUGAACUCGUCCGGCACUACUGCCAACAAUUUCAAAGCAAUUAGUCCAUCUUCCCUCCUUUCGUCUAAUUCUACUUUCAAAUAAACACACGAACAAUAAACGCGCGAUUCAGUUGAACCGAAUUGCGCGUCGUUUAUCGGACGACGGUUAAUUGUCGCAACAAAUCAGAGACACGGAGAAAACAACACAGAUAUAGUGUAUGGUAUAUUUUUCCUUUUAAAAAUCGAUUAAAUGAAACAAAAACGACGAAACGCUACAUUGCUCGAGCCGCAGGUGUUCGUACAUUUCUAUUAGGUUGGCAACUAGGAGAUUGCGGAUUUUGUCGCUAGGUGGUGUUGGCAAAAUCCGCAAUCACUUAGUUGCCAGUCGAAUAUAAUAAGAAUUCAAUAUCUCAGGAAGAAAAUCUUAUUUUUAUAAAUUUAUUUUUAAACACAAAGAGGUCUCAUCGAUAAUUCCAAACUGCAAGAACAAUUUAAAGAUGCGACGUUGGUAAUUAUCUUUCUUUGUUUUUUACAGUCGUUACUCGAAGAUUCUCUUACUUUAUCAGGAAUCAUUUUUCAUCACACUAUGAUACGUUCGUUGUAGAUAGAAUUUUGGAUUGAAAUGUCCCUGAUAUCGCGAUACCGAUCGUUGAUCUCCAGAGUUGUAUUCCAUGGUAUCCGUAUUAAUUUCAGCGUGUACAUCGAAUAAGGUGGGAUACGUAUUAGCUUACGAUUAUUGCGAAACUCCGACAAAUCUUAUUUUAUGUAGCGUUUCUUCGUUACAAGACACGUACGAUACGAAUAGAUCGGUAGAUUUGUAAUAAUCGACCAACGCGAUUUAAUUUCUCGACUAACGAGUCUCGCAAAUAACAUCUUUCAUGUUAGAUUGUGCCAAAAGUUCCUCUCGUUUUAUUAAAAAAAAAAAAAAAAAAAUACACUUUAUAAGAAAGAACAUGUUUUGUUUCACGUUAUUUUAUCGAAUUAUAACGAUCCGUUUUGUUCUAUCACGCUGUUCUAUUUAUGUCGGACAAAUUAGGUUUCACGUUUGUACAAAACUCUCAUAGAAAGAAGACUAAAAAGAAAACAUCCCACUAACCUCAAUAAAGAAACAAAAUAGUCAAACUCAAAGGUCCUGCUGGGGUAGCCAUCCACAUGCUAUUUAGCAAUUAAGUUAGAAAAAUUUAGCAAAUGCCCAGCUGGACAAAUUGUAAAGCACAAAUUAAAUAAUAAAAAAAAGAACGUUUGUAUAAACUUUGCCAGAUAAAGCAGCUAUGUGCAGAUAGCGAAAGACGCUUUUGGGGCAGCUUGAUACUUGAAGAAUUUUUUCUCUUUUCUUUUUUUUAAUUGUUUCUACUUUACAAUUUGUCCAGCUGGACAUUCGGUAAAUUUUUCUACCUGAUAUUUGAAGAUGUAUUGAUACUUGAUGCGACUAAAACUAAGACACGAAGAAAGAAAAGAAAAAAAAGAGGAAAAGAAAAUGAUUAGAAAUUAAAAAUAGAAACUAGUACUCGUGGCCUAGCAGCGCACUUGUUUAACGACACUUAUGAAUUCACCGUCGACCGACGACAAAUUCGAGUGAGAAAUACCAGAGGACGGUCGCGUCUCCGCGCCACGCUACGUUUGCCUUCUAAAAUUCCCGCGCCUUGCCGCGUCUCGUCACGCUGAGUCAAGUGUGGUCUGGAAUGUAAAAGAACCCCGCUCACAAUAGUCUAAGAUUACACGGUUCGAGUGUAACGUUACGAGUAAGUUUCGAUAGGUGGAACACAUAGCUUACGUACGGUUUGAGUCAGACUUCGGUUCCUCCUCCCUCUUUCUCUUUCUCUCCGCCGCCCUUUUUCCCUACCAUGACCUCGGUCUUUGCUUCCCUGCCACUUUACGGAGAAGCCGGAUUUUUUUCUUCCCCCUUCCUCUUCUGCUCGUUAAAAACCAGAUACUCGAACGCCACCGCACCAAACCAGGAACACGCCGUGCCUGCUGAACGAUAACGAGCUAUCCUUCUCGUAAUUUCCACGAUAUUAUACGAGGAAGAAUUCCAGCUAUUUCUUUCUCUCUUUCUCUCUCUCUCUCUUUUUUUCUCAGAAGAGACCCUCUUUCAGCUUCCAUAUCGACUCUCCGCUCUUCCAAUCGUCUCUUCAUUUUUCUAUGAAAAAUGCAGAGCGACGCGAGAUUGCCGCAUUACGAUCUCAUGCGAAGAACACGAGAGAAAAAUAGAACGAGCAGAAGCGUGGAUUUUAAUGCGCAUGAUAUUCGAAAAUGAACAAAAUAUUGGAAAUGUAUUGGGUGGGCAACUAAGUGAUUGUCAUUACCAUCUAAUGACAAAAUCCGCAAUCACUUGGUUGCCAACCAAUAGUAUAAAGAAAUGGGGUGUUUGGCCAGUUAGCUGGUGCGAUCUCCUUAACACUUUACCGACCGAUAGCCUAUUAAUCGGGGUUUUGUCGUCGACAAUUUUUCUCAUUAUUUGAGCAGUAAUUUGUUAUUUAGUAGUAAGGUACCUUGCUCAGUUGCAUUGCUUUGUAAGCUUUCACAGUUUUAUACCAAUUUGAAAAACUUUCGUUCGCUAUGAACGAAAAGAAUGAUAUUGGAGAGUCUAAACCGAAACACAGCUGGCGCCAGGGAGAAUCUGCGCCUGAGAUGCUGGUCGGAGCAAGCGGUCGGUAAAGUGUUAAGAACUUUGAAAAAACUUUGAAACGUGUACCUGAAAUGCGUGGCGAGAAGUAAGCGACAUCUGGUGAAACGCGGAGUAUCGAAACGAUUGCUUUAUUUUUGAAUUUUAUUAGCGACAGUUGCUGGUCGUAACGCGAGAUAUUGUCAUUUCUUCGUGACGAGUAUAUUCGACAAGAAACAGUUAACUGCUUAAAAUAAGUUAAACUAUCGUCUCUACGUAGGUUCCAUUCUUUCAAUCACGUUCGUAGAGACAGGAAUUUGCAUAAAAAUAUCCAUGGUGUAAUUGAGAAUUUUAAAUAUUUAAACCGCUGGCUGCUUUCACUUGCUUUCGGCGAUUAAACGCGAACGUCCGUCGCUUUCUUCAAUACUUCAGAUCAUAUCGAUCGCCGUAAAAUUAAAUGGAAUCAGAAUGAAAUUUCCUAUCUGUUUCCAGUUUAAACCUGAUGAUCUUAAACCUACAAAUUUGUUCUCUUUCUCCGUGUUGCAUUAAAGUACUCUCCACUUGGAAUUAGCAUCGACGUUAGAAAAUCAACACGCGAUCUUCUUACGAAAAGCGACUGAUAAAAAUCGAGCAAAAUGUUCAGCCAGUUCUGGACGAGACACAAUGUACGUUUUUUUUUUUUUAUUAUUUAAUUUGUACUUUACAAUUUGUCCAGCUGAACAUUUGGUAAAUUUGUCUAACUUAAUUGCUAAAUAACAUGCGGAUGGCUACCCCUAGCGGGAUACCAUCUUCGAGUAUGGUCGUCCGUGACUACCAAUAACAUAAACGGUCCAUUGGGGAAGAAUGUUGUCUUACAUCAUCAAUUUAUUAUUAUUUCGCCAUUAUAUGCUUUGAAUAAUAAAAAUACUCUCGUGGAGUCCUGAGCGAAACAUAUGAUUUCGACGUGGCAGUCAGAGUGUUUUAAUCGCCGAAAUAAACGUAUAGGAACACUUAGAUUACACUUAGAAUUGAUAUGAAAAUAGUUUCAGAUUUAUUUAAUAUGCGAUGUACAAGAUAUUCGUCGAUAUACAUUUGCACGCGUCUCAGUGCUCUCUUUGUCUCGCCAUCUUCUAUAUCACAUUACCAAUGGAACAGUUGCAUUCGUCUGUUUUACGAGACGCUGUGCACGCACAUACUCCCACACAUUCAUACUCAUAUAUGUGUGUCACUACUACACGGCUAAUCUAGUGUAGCACACAAAAUUUCUUUUUUUUUAUUAUUUAAUUUGUACCUUACAAUUUGUCCAGCUGGAAAUUUGGUAAAUUUGUCUAACUUAAUUGCUAAAUAACAUGUGGAUGGCUAACCCCAGCGGGAUACCAUCUUCGAGUUUGACUAUUUUGUUUCUUUAGUGAGGUUAAUGGGCUGUUUUCUUUUUGGUCUUCUUUCUAUGAAACGAGCGUAUCUCCGUGAUCAGGAUUUCAACUUCUGACAAAUUUUUACAUCGCCUGAUCGACAAACACGGCGAUGUUUAUGCACUCGAUUUUGUACGCGAACUUUCGCUGCCAGAAUUAUAGGAAAUCCAUCGAGCUGACGUUGGCGAAGCCAUACGCGCGCACCACGAGAGUAAACGGGGCUUCGUGCAAGUAUUUCUGUCCUGCCAGUGCUUAAUCGCCAUGGCCGUUACAUAAACGGCCGCGAAUCGCUUUUGCCAUGAUUUUUGCGUCAGCGAUGCGCUUUAUCGCUCGGUGGGCGUCGAUCGCCGAACGGGUCUCCUGCUGAUAUCACGACGAUUGUAAUUCGACGCUCGGCAACGUGCGAUUUAACCUUCCAGAGAGUUUCUUUUCUAUCGGCAGGCAGCUAAGUGAUUACGGAUUUUGUCAUUAGGUGGCAUUGACAUAAUCCGCAAUCACUUAGUUGCCAAGCCAGAUAUAGGACUUAACGAGAGCAAAUUUAGCUGCGCUUACGAGACGCUCGUUGCAAUAUGCGCGUUCGUUUGCACAAUUUUGUUAUUCGUUUUUUUUUUUUUGCGUGUUGCUUAGCUCUUUCGUAUUUCGUUGAGGGUAGCCGAAUUAUCUAAACUCAAGCUUUUUUAUUUGCUACGAGUUACUUGAAUUAAAAAAAAAAGAAAAAAACGUUUAAACAAUCGACUUGUAAUUCGCAACGAUCCCAUCGUUUUUGGUAAAACAUACACGCGCUAUGACAAUUUCUCGUCCUAAAGUUUCCUCUAUUUAAGCUGCUAUUACGCUCUGUUUACGACUUAUUUACAUGGACGUGGUAAUUAGAAAACAAAGUCGAUGUUUUAUUAGCUGCGUCGAUGUUUUAUUAGUUACUUUCGUUACCAUGAAAAUUGCCAUGCUUCGAAAAUUCUAUUACAGAAUCAGUUUCGUUAUACCGCGUGUUUAGAGCUGACGAAUAUCCAAAAUGACCCAACAACGCAACACUAUAAGUACGUUUUCCUUUCGUUUUGCGUUUCGAACGUCGACGAUUCCAGCGUUAGAUCGGUCGACUGGAGUAUAAUAUUGGCAACUAAGUGAUUGCGGAUUUUGUCAAUACCACCUAAUGACAAAAUCUGCAAUCACUUAGUUGCCAAGCCAAAUAACUCGUCUAAUCUGAACGAGACGCGGCAUCAUCUCGACUGAGGAUAGUCGAAUCAGGUGAAUUUUUAUUUUAAAUGUCAAAUGCUUGCUCGAUGUCACGAUAGAUCUUGGAUGUCUCUUAUUCACUGGAUCGUUUAUUGUCACACGUUCAGGUGUUUCUUACAUCAAUGUGUUACGAUGUUUGCUUGUUAAACGUUUUAUCGUUAGGAAAAAUCGCCAGGAAUUUUGUCUACACGAGGUAGGUUUUGCAUGAGUCGUCGUUUAUUCCAGCUGAAAUACGUUCAAACGGAAACCGAACGAGUCGAUGAAUAAUUAAUAAAUCAACCGCGCAAAGCAACGUAUCCGAUAUCGUGCCCGGAUUCCUGAAAUAAAUAUUCUAUAUUAAAUCGUCCCUUUUUCCUUAUUCUAUCUCGACGUUCAAUGGCUGUCAAAUGUACGUACUGUUUACGGACGACGUUUGCUAAAAUUGCACAAGGCCACGUCGUGUGACGAACAACAAGGUAAGACAAUUAAA